ensembl:lncRNA
CGAGCCCCUAGGCAGCGGAGCCGGACGGGAGAGCCCCGCCGCCCGCCCCGCCGAGGGCCCCCGCUCCCGGUUGGGGACGGCGACGUCGGGAGCUCUGGCCGCGUUUUGCCCGUUCCUGGGGAUAACUCGGCCGGGGGCUGUCAUGUGGCCAGAUGGCGCUGCUGGUGCCGCCUAACAGAUCCAGCCUCGGGACGGGGGGCCUGAGGGACACAGCAGCAUCCUCAGGGGAUGCACGCAGCACAGGAAGGGCCCAGAUCCACAUACCGCAGGUACAGACCUGCUUCCGUGCCAGCCUUGGGAAAUAUGCGUGUGGCUUUUCACAGAAUCACAGAAUCACGAAGGUUGGAAAAGACCUCUAAGAUGAUCUGGUCCAACCACCAACGCGUCCCCACCAUGCCCACUGACCGCGUCCCUCAGUGCCACAUCGAUGCAUUUCUUGAACACCUCCAGGGACGGUGAUUCCAUAACCCGGAUUUCCCCACGUAAGCUACAGAAUUUGCUGGAAAUUGCUUCACUUUUUGCAAGCUCUGAGGCUCAGCCUUAGGGCUGGGAUGCGUGUUUGCUCUGCCGCCUGGGACAAGAAAGGAAACAUCUGUAGGCCUCAUGGUCUCACUCGAGAAGACACACCUGGGAGAACUGCAGCCACUGCUUCCCAUGGGGACAGGUGUGGCGGCGGGGUGAUGCUAAGGAGCUGCCUUCCAAAGAGGCUGGGAUGGAUUUCCUCUCUCCGUUCCCCUGUUUCCAUGGGAACAGCAGCACACAGGAACAGCCUGCUCUGAAUUUCACUGCCUCUUUCUCAGGCACCCCCUUCCCAAUCCUGCAGGCAGCUUUUGGCUCCCAAAGGGUGUCAGAGCCAUCCUCCGUGCUGAUUCCUGUGCUGCUAAGGAGAACUCAGUGUGGUGUGCACCGUGGCACGACCCAUUCCAGCCAAGGUGUCUGCAGCAGCACUGAACACUAUUACACGCACACUAGCAGACAUCUGCAGAUCAUCUGCAUGCAUAUAUGCACUUCUGCUGUAUACGGUGAUGGGGACUCCUGGAGGAAGUGACAUCAGCUGGACCAACAGGAGUGUGUGAGAUGAUUGUCCUCCAGGAACAGUUGUUCUCUGUUCACUGUUGUUCUCCCAGAUGUGGGAAAGUCACCCAAAAAGGGUGGAUGGAGGAAAAAAAGAGUGAUACAAGUCUAUAUCUUUGUAUUCAGAUCGUGGUGGCUUUUACUCCAGUGAAUUUGUCCAUUCGCUGUUGAAUUGGUGGUAAAUUUUGACUCUGAUAUUCUGCUUGCACGCUGGCAAGGAGUUCCCAACAGCACCACGGACUGCAGGGAGCUGCUUGCUGUGGUUUGCCUAGGAUUAAACCUUGGGAUGGCGACUGCCACCAACCCUAUGGAGCCAUCCAUGCGAUACAUCUCCUAUCAGUGGGUUCUGCAGCUACCAGUGAUGCAGAAGGAUGCUUUUUUUUUUGUAUUGAAUGUCUUGGAUUCUGGCCCUGGCAGAACAGCCUCUGCAGCUCAGAGACAACACUGCUAAGCACAGCCCCAGCUUUGCUAUUUCUGAGUCGGGAUGUCACAAAGAAGUUCUGUGCCCUGCUCUGUCUCAACUGAAAUGUGUGAGCUCUCAGCCAUCGAAAGAGGCACAUGGCAGGUUUCUGUGCUCAGAAGGGAAUGCUACGUGCUGCAAAGAGCACAGGGUUCCCCCAGAGAAUAAGGCGAUAUGAUGUGUAGGUCCUUUCCACCCCGCUCACCUUCCUGCAGGCUGGCAGUCAGCUGCAUAUGAAGGAGGGUGCCUGGUUGAAAGGGAGGGUAGGAGGGAUGUUACCUUCUUCCCAGGUUACUCCUUCUGUGCACCCUUUCCUCUGAAGUGAAAACGCUGGGGGUUUGGGGAUGCUCCAGCAGAAGGUGGUGUUGGAGAGCAGUGCAUUUCUUGUAUAGGGACGUUUCUGGUUGUUGGGAGAAGCAGGAAAUCUCUCAAGAAGACACGGCAACUGAAGCAAUAUCCCUAGUGGGACACUGGCAGGUUCGUUCUCCGGAUACCCCAUAUCUGUCACUCUGCAGAGACAUUCCUAUCUGUUCCAGGCAGAUAUAAAGCUCUGGGUCAUACUGGCAGCGUUCUCCAUUCAUUUUCCAUAACAUGUCAAGCCAGAAAACUUCUCACACCUCCAUCUCUGGCACUGCCAGGAAAAAGGGAGCAUGGGUGCGGGGACGUGCUUUUUGCUCCAGUUAAAUGCAGCCCUUUGCUGCUGCUCUUCAGCCUUACGGACAGCUCUGCAGCCAUUCACCUCUUCAAGCAUUGCGUUCCCAGGAGAUGUGUGCCAUCACUGAGAUUUCCCUUGGUCACAGCCAGGCUGCUGGGAGGAGGAGAGCAUAUUUCUACCUUUUUCACCUCUUUUUUCUUUUGCUGUGGAGAGGAAACCCACUGAAGCCUGCAGUGCUCUUUGCAGCUGGCCGAACUGCCAACCUGUGGGCCAUCUGCCACCCCUUUCCUACAUCUGCCACCUCCCUUGGGAGGGCUCUGCAGCCCGCAGCGACACGCACGCCAAUGAACACGCGGCGAGGCAUUCCCAACCAUCUGCACAGAGGUGAACGGAGCCCUGCUGCUGCACUCACAGAUCCGACAGCAGUCCAGUGAGAAGGAUCCACUUCAGAGGGAAAUGCAAGCCAGAGACAUGACCGGAGAAACCAAACCAGAAAGUGAGCGUGGGAGGACGGCUGGAGGUUAUCGAUGCCAGCACAGACUUCCUCUGCCUGCUGCCCGUGCCAUCACACUCCAAACCCUCUCUUCCCAUCUCCUUGGAGGCACUUUGGGGGCAGCGUGCAUGCAGUAGGGCUGCAGAUGCAAGCCUGGCUGAGCAACACUCAGAGAGCGAUGCAAACCUGCAGCAGCUGCAGCCGGAGGGGAAAUCCUCGGCACGCUGCAUGCGGCUCUGAGCCCACGUGCCCGGCGCCACCCAGGUGAGCUCCCUGCAGAUGUGGAAACAAGCAGGUCCUUCCCCUCCUGCUGGGAGCAGCAGGAAGGUGUGCGCCUUGCAGGUGAG